rnacentral:rRNA from 1 species
CUACGUGCCAGCAGCCGCGGUAAUACGUAGGGCGCGAGCGUUGUCCGGAAUUAUUGGGCGUAAAGAGCUUGUAGGCGGUUUGUCGCGUCUGCUGUGAAAGGCCGGGGCUUAACCCCGUGUAUUGCAGUGGGUACGGGCAGACUAGAGUGCAGUAGGGGAGACUGGAACUCCUGGUGUAGCGGUGGAAUGCGCAGAUAUCAGGAAGAACACCGAUGGCGAAGGCAGGUCUCUGGGCUGUAACUGACGCUGAGAAGCGAAAGCAUGGGGAGCGAACAGGAUUAGAUACCCUGGUAGUCCAUGCCGUAAACGUUGGGCACUAGGUGUGGGGGACAUUCCACGUUUUCCGCGCCGUAGCUAACGCAUUAAGUGCCCCGCCUGGGGAGUACGGCCGCAAGGCUAAAACUCAAAGAAAUUGACGGGGGCCCGCACAAGCGGCGGAGCAUGCGAAUUAAUUCGAUGCAACGCGAAGAACCUUACCAAGGCUUGACAU